GGUGCUGCAUGGCUGUCGUCAGCUCGUGUCGUGAGACGUUGGGUUAAGUCCGUAACGAGCGCAACCCUUGUCCUUAGUUACCAGCACGUUAUGGUGGGCACUCUAAGGAGACUGACCGGUGACAACCGGAGGAAGGUGGGGAUGACGUCAAGUCAUCAUGGCCCUUACGGCCUGGGCUACACACGUGCUACAAUGGUCGGUACAAAGGGUUGCCAAGCCGCGAGGUGGAGCUAAUCCCAUAAAACCGAUCGUAGUCCGGAUCGCAGUCUGCAACUCGACUGCGUGAAGUCGGAAUCGCUAGUAAUCGUGAAUCAGAAUGUCACGGUGAAUACGUUCCCGGGCCUU
rnacentral:rRNA from 1 species